CCUACGGGUGGCAGCAGUGAGGAAUAUUGGUCAAUGGGCGGAAGCCUGAACCAGCCAAGUAGCGUGCAGGAUGAAGGUACAGAGUAUCGUAAACCUCUUUUGUCAGGGAACAAAGGCGGGGACGUGUCCCCGGAUGAGUGUACCUGAAGAAAAAGCAUCGGCUAACUCCGUGCCAGCAGCCGCGGUAAUACGGAGGAUGCGAGCGUUAUCCGGAUUUAUUGGGUUUAAAGGGUGCUCAGGCGGUCUGUUAAGUCAGCGGUCAAAGCCCGGGGCACAACCCCGGCCCGCCGUUGAAACUGGCAGUCUUGAGUUGGCGAGAGGUAUGCGGAAUGCGCGGUGUAGCGGUGAAAUGCAUAGAUAUCGCGCAGAACUCCGAUUGCGAAGGCAGCAUGCCGGCUCCACACUGACGCUGAGGCACGAAAGCGUGGGUAUCGAACAGGAUUAGAUACCCCGGUAGUC
rnacentral:rRNA from 1 species